AGUGAACGCUGGCGGCAGGCCUAAUACAUGCAAGUCGAACGGCAGCACAGCAGAGCUUGCUCUGUGGGUGGCGAGUGGCGGACGGGUGAGGAAUACGUGGGAAUCUGCCCAGUCGUGGGGGAUAACGUAGGGAAACUUACGCUAAUACCGCAUGCGCCCUUUGGGGGAAAGCCGGGGAUCUUCGGACCUGGUGCGAUUGGAUGAGCCCACGUCGGAUUAGCUAGUUGGAGGGGUAAAGGCCCACCAAGGCGACGAUCCGUAGCUGGUCUGAGAGGAGGAUCAGCCACACUGGAACUGAGACACGGGCCAGACUCCUACGGGAGGCAGCAGUAGGGAAUAUUGGACAAUGGGCGCAAGCCUGAUCCAGCCAUGCCGCGUGAGUGAAGAAGGCCCUCGGGUUGUAAAGCUCUUUUGUUGGGGAAGAAAAGCCUUGGGUUAAUACCCUGAGGUUCUGACGGUACCCAAAGAAUAAGCACCGGCUAACUUCGUGCCAGCAGCCGCGGUAA
rnacentral:rRNA from 1 species